AGAGUUUGAUCCUGGCUCAGGAUGAACGCUGGCGGCGUGCCUAACACAUGCAAGUCGAGCGAAGCAAUUAAGAGGAAGUUUUCGGAUGGAAUGUUAAUUGACUGAGCGGCGGACGGGUGAGUAACGCGUGGGUAACCUGCCUCAUACAGGGGGAUAACAGUUAGAAAUGACUGCUAAUACCGCAUAAGCACACAGAACCGCAUGGUUCGGGGUGAAAAGCCGAGACGGUAUGAGAUGGACCCGCGUCUGAUUAGCUAGUUGGAGGGGUAACGGCCCACCAAGGCAACGAUCAGUAGCCGACCUGAGAGGGUGACCGGCCACAUUGGGACUGAGACACGGCCCAGACUCCUACGGGAGGCAGCAGUGAGGAAUAUUGGUCAAUGGGCGGGAGCCUGAACCAGCCAAGCCGCGUGAGGGAAGAAGGUACAGCGUAUCGUAAACCUCUUUUGUCAGGGAACAAAGGCGGGGACUAGUCCCCGGAUGAGGGUACCUGAAGAAAAAGCAUCGGCUAACUCCGUGCCAGCAGCCGCGGUAAUACGGAGGAUGCGAGCGUUAUCCGGAUUUAUUGGGUUUAAAGGGUGCGCGGGCGGCCUGUUAAGUCAGCGGUAAAAGCCCGGGGCUCAACCCCGGCGAGCCGUUGAAACUGGCGGGCUGGAGUUGGAGAGAAGUACGCGGAAUGCGCGGUGUAGCGGUGAAAUGCUUAGAUAUCGCGCAGAACCCCGAUUGCGAAGGCAGCGUACCGGCUCCACACUGACGCUGAGGCACGAAAGCGUGGGUAUCGAACAGGAUUAGAUACCCUGGUAGUCCACGCAGUAAACGAUGAAUGCUUGCUGUCCGGGCAGAGAUAUGCCUGGGGGGCGAAGCGAAAGCGAUAAGCAUUCCACCUGGGGAGUACGCCGGCAACGGUGAAACUCAAAGGAAUUGACGGGGGCCCGCACAAGCGGAGGAACAUGUGGUUUAAUUCGAUGAUACGCGAGGAACCUUACCCGGGCUCAAACGGGAGACGGCAGGGGCAGAGACGCCCCUUUCCCUCGGGACGUCUUCCGAGGUGCUGCAUGGUUGUCGUCAGCUCGUGCCGUGAGGUGUCGGCUUAAGUGCCAUAACGAGCGCAACCCCCGCGUGCAGUUGCCAGCAGGAAAGGCUGGGGACUCUGCACGGACUGCCGGCGCAAGCCGCGAGGAAGGCGGGGAUGACGUCAAAUCAGCACGGCCCUUACGUCCGGGGCGACACACGUGUUACAAUGGGGGGUACAGCGGGAAGCCAGGCGGCGACGCCGAGCGGAACCCGAAAGCCCCUCUCAGUUCGGAUCGGAGUCUGCAACCCGAGUCCGUGAAGCUGGAUUCGCUAGUAAUCGCGCAUCAGCCAUGGCGCGGUGAAUACGUUCCCGGGCCUUGCACACACCGCCCGUCAAG
rnacentral:rRNA from 1 species